rnacentral:rRNA from 1 species
GAUGAACGCUGACAGAAUGCUUAACACAUGCAAGUCAACUUGAAUUUGGGUUUUUACCUUAGGUUUGGGUGGCGGACGGGUGAGUAACGCGUAAAGAACUUGCCUCCCAGCUAGGGACAACAUUUGGAAACGAAUGCUAAUACCUAAUAUUAUGAUAAUAGGGCAUCCUAUAAUUAUGAAAGCUAUAAGCGCUGUGAGAGAGCUUUGCGUCCCAUUAGCUAGUUGGAGAGGUAACGGCUCACCAAGGCGAUGAUGGGUAGCCGGCCUGAGAGGGUGAUCGGCCACAAGGGGACUGAGACACGGCCAUUACUCCUACGGGAGGCAGCAGUGGGGAAUAUUGGACAAUGGACCAAGAGUCUGAUCCAGCAAUUCUGUGUGCACGAUGAAGUUUUUCGGAAUGUAAAGUGCUUUCAGUUGGGAAGAAAGAAAUGACGGUACCAACAGAAGAAGUGACGGCUAAAUACGUG